rnacentral:lncRNA from 10 species
UCAGCAAACAGUUAUUGGACUAAACUGGGUUAGUCUUAGGGGCGCAGAACAAGACAGACACUGCCCCCGUCCUGAAGAGCUGACAGUGGGGAAAGAUGGAUAGCCAAACAGAGAGAAUAGACUCUGGAGCCAGCCUGCCUGGGUUCAAAUUCUGCUUCCACACUACUGGAUAGAGGUUCUGCCUAGCCAGCAGUGGGACCUUGAGCAAGUUACUUAAUCUCUGCCUCAGUUUAAAUGUCCUAAGUUUAAACUCUUGUUAGCCGUGUUUGACAGAGGAGGAAAUUGAGGUUCAGAGUGGUUAAGUAGCGUGCCCAAAGUCACCUCCCUGCAGGGAGGUAUGAGGCACGAUGUAAACAGAUCAUCUCCCUGUUCAUCUCCUGGAGGACUGGCUCCCCAGAGCGGGAUCUCCAAACUCAGGACAAAGAAUAACAUGGAGUUAUCCAAGUGAAGGGGAGGAAGGUGGUGGCAUGAAGGCAGUGUUUCAGGCAGAAAAUAUCGAAAAUCACACGUGCAACUAGGCACUGAAGCGGUUCCGAGCGACCUGGAGCACUAGAUCUGAGCUGGGGCUGGAAAAUUGGGUGAGUGGGUUGUGACCAGGUUACAGAGGCCUUAUAAACCUGAUUAAGGCAUUCAGACUCAUGGGUUUUUUUGCUGUUUUGGGGGGUUAUUUUUUUUGAAACAAGGUAUCGCUCUGUUGCCCUGGCUGGAGUGCAGUGGUGUGGUCACAGAUCACUACAGACUCAACCUCCUCGGUUCAGGUGAUCCUCCCACCUCAGCCUCCCAAGUAGCUAGGACCACAGGCACACGCCACCACAUCCAGCUAGUUUUUGUAUUUUUAGUAGAAAUGGGGUUUCAUCAUGUUGCCCAGGCUGGUCUCAAACUCCUGGGCUCAAGUGAUCCACCCACCUCAGCCUCCAAGAGUGCUGGGAUUACAGGCGUGAGGCACCACACCCAGACAAGACUCACGCUUAAAGGCAACUGAGGAGCCAGUAUAGA